AUGAGUGUGUUCAAAUUCCAGAAGAAAAUAUGUAAGGGGAUCACUAACGCCAUUUCACAUUAUUGGUGGGGUGACGUUGAAAACCAGCAGAAAAUGCAUUGGUUUGCUUGGUGGAAGAUGUGCAUUCCGAAGGAAAGAGGUGGGAUGAGUUUCCGUGAUAUACACAACUUUAAUUUGGCGCUUCUAGCCAAGCAGUGUUGGAGACUCAUUGAGUACCAUGACUCGCUAUGUGCGAGGGUCCUGCGGGCAAAAUACUACCCUAGUGGCGAAUUACUCAAUUGCAGUUUGAAGAAAGGCUCUUCCUUUGCGUGGCAGAGUAUUUGGGCAGGAACACAGACUUUCAAGAAAGGAAGCAUUUGGAGGGUGGGAAAUGGUCUUAAAAUAAAUAUAUGGGAGGAUUGCUGGGUGCCGAACAGCUCCUCCAGGAAAAUUGUCACUCCACGCGGGAAUCGAGUGCUAACCCGAGUUAAUGAGCUCAUUGAUCCAGUAUCCUCAGAGUGGGAUGAUAAUCUUAUCAGAGAUAAUUUUUGGCCCAUUGAUGAUGACCGCAUAUUGCAAAUCCCGUUGCAUCAGGAUGAUACUGAGGAUUAUGUGGCAUGGCACUUGACGAAGUCGGGAGUCGCAAGGAGCCAAAUAAAGUGA
rnacentral:rRNA from 1 species